rnacentral:rRNA from 1 species
AUGACGUCAAGUCCUCAUGGCCUUUAUGUCUAGGGCUACACACGUGCUACAAUGGGUGGUACAAAGAGCAGCUAACUCGCGAGAGUAUGCAAAUACUCAAAAAGCCAUCCUCAGUUCGGAUUGGAGUCUGCAACUCGACUCCAUGAAGUUGGAAUCGCUAGUAAUCGCGGAUCAGCACGCCGCGGUGAAUACGUUCCCGGGCCUU